GAUGAAGAACGUAGCGAAAUGCGAUACGUAAUGUGAAUUGCAGAAUUCAGUGAAUCAUCGAAUCUUUGAACGCACAUUGCGCCUGCCAGCACUCUGGCAGGCAUGCCUGUUCGAGCGUCAUUUCAACCAUCAAGCCCUAGGCUUGCGUUGGAGCCCUGCGGCUGCCGCAGGCCCCUAAAAGCAGUGGCGGGCUCGCUGUCACACCGAGUGCAGUAGAUUACUCUUCGCUCAGGGCGUGUGGCGGGUUCCAGCCGUGAAACCCCCUACUUCUCAAGGUUGACCUCGGAUCAGGUAGGAAUACCCGCUGAACUUAAGCAUAUCAAUAAGCGGAGGA
rnacentral:misc_RNA from 1 species